rnacentral:rRNA from 1 species
GUGCGUGAGAGUAACUGUUCACGUUUCGACGGUAUCUAACCAGAAAGCCACGGCUAACUACGUGCCAGCAGCCGCGGUAAUACGUAGGUGGCAAGCGUUAUCCGGAUUUAUUGGGCGUAAAGGGAACGCAGGCGGUCUUUUAAGUCUGAUGUGAAAGCCUUCGGCUUAACCGGAGUAGUGCAUUGGAAACUGGGAGACUUGAGUGCAGAAGAGGAGAGUGGAACUCCAUGUGUAGCGGUGAAAAUGCGUAGAUAUAUGGAAGAACACCAGUGGCGAAAGCGGCUCUCUGGUCUGUAACUGACGCUGAGGUUCGAAAGCGUGGGUAGCAAACAGGAUUAGAUACCCUGGUAG